rnacentral:lncRNA from 1 species
AUGUUGAUGCCUAAGAAGAACCAGAUUGCUAUUUAUGAACUCCUUUUUAAGGAGGGAGUCACGGUAGCCAAGAAGAAUGUCCACCUGCCUAAGACCCGGAGCUGGCAGAUGAGAAUGUGCCCAACCUUCACGUCAUGAAGGCCAGGCAGUCUCUCAGGUCCUGAGGUUGCAGGAAGGAGUUUGCCUGGAGACAUUUCUACUGGUACCUCACCCACAUGGGGAUCCAGAAUCUCUGCGAUUACCACCAUCUGCCCCUGGAGAGCGUGUCUGCUACCCCAUGCCACAGCGGUCUGGAGACUGGCAGGCUGCGGCCUAAAGGUCUGGAGCGUGACCGACCUGCAAGACCCACAAACAGCCAUAGAGAGAAAGAGACACCCACAGAUGGAGUGCUGUCCCCCUGGUGCCAGUGAGAAAGCUGAGGCUGGGAAUGGGUCAGCAACCGAAUUUCAGUUUACAGGCGUAUUUGGUCGUGGACAUGGUCAGCCACCUCAGUAA